GACGCCUGCGCACUGAGCCGACCCGCCCUCGAGGCCCCGCCCCGUCCCAGCCCUCCGGCCGGAGUUCCCGGGACACGCUCGCCCCCUGCGGUCCUAAGCGUGCACUGCACCCCGCGGCCUCCAAAGCAUCCCGGUACCCCGCGCUCUGAGUUUGCCAUCUAAGCGAAAGGAAGCCAAUGGAGAGACUUUGGCUUAAGGAGAAGGCCCCCGGUACUGGUCACGGUCCCGGAGUAAGGGACUUGCAGAGGGCCUGUUCUCAGCCUGGUUUUGCCUUUCUCCAUACCAUCUGAGCACUGUUGGUAAUCUUUGCCUCCCCCAUGGCCGAGGCUCCUGGUUCCGCGUUCUUUCUCCACCCAAACUCAUCCAUCCCAGCUUAUCAGCCAUCAGCUGGUGUCUCACUCCCCGAGGGAGCUCCUCCCUGCCAGAUGUUGACAGCAGUCUGCCGCAGCCCCAAGAGAGCUCGGAAAGAAUCCACUGACCGAGCAAACACAAGCAGAGCAGUAACCCCUACGGGUCAGUGUGGAUAUGGCCGGACAGCAGCAAGGGCGCAGAAAUCCACGAGGAGGAGACAAGCCAAAUGUGGGCAUCAACAUUGGGUGGAAGGUUGAAGCGCUGUGAGCCUCCUUCUCAAAGGUGUACGAAUUGCCAAAUCAGUGGGAUUGGAAGAGGUUCUUCUUUCCAAGCAAGUGUGUGAAAGUUCGCCUGAUCACCUCCGUGCCUUUGCUCAGACGGUCCCCUCUGUCUAGGAUGCCUUCGUCUCUCCUCUCCAACUUGGGAACUCCAUGCCCUGCCUUCAGUCCCCUCACUCUCACAGCCCAUGUGUUCCCACCACUGAACUGAUGCUAAGGUUUCGUUGCCGUGUUCUGUGCCAUUUGCUGAAGGAGGGCACCUGUCACCUCCAUUCCCUGGCAGGGUGUAGCCUGGGAUUUAAGACCUAAUAGAGUCUGUACAGUCCAAUGAAAAUAUGAGAGCCACGUUUUGAUUUUUAAUUUUCUAGUAACGCUUAAUAGUUACUAAUUAAAUGUCACUUAAAAAGAAGCAGGUGAGGGGUGCCUGGGUGGCUCAGUCAUUAAGUGUCUGCCUUCGGCUCAGGGCAUGAUCCUGGCAUUCUGGGAUCAAGCCCCACAUCAGGCUCCUCCACUGGGAGCCUGCUUCUUCCUCUCCCACUCCCCCUGCUUGUGUUCCCUCUCUUGCUGGCUGUCUCUCUGUCAAAUAAAUAAAAUCUUAAAAAAAAAAAAAAGAAACAGGUGAAAUUACUUACAAUAAUGUACUGUAGCCAAUAAUAAGAUAACCAGCUGUCCUGGUUUGCCCAGGACCAAGCAGUUCUCUGGGC
rnacentral:lncRNA from 1 species